UAACACAUGCAAGUCGAGCGGAGAUGAGGUGCUUGCACCUUAUCUUAGCGGCGGACGGGUGAGUAAUGCUUAGGAAUCUGCCUAUUAGUGGGGGACAACAUUCCGAAAGGAAUGCUAAUACCGCAUACGCCCUACGGGGGAAAGCAGGGGAUCUUCGGACCUUGCGCUAAUAGAUGAGCCUAAGUCGGAUUAGCUAGUUGGUGGGGUAAAGGCCUACCAAGGCGACGAUCUGUAGCGGGUCUGAGAGGAUGAUCCGCCACACUGGGACUGAGACACGGCCCAGACUCCUACGGGAGGCAGCAGUGGGGAAUAUUGGACAAUGGGCGGAAGCCUGAUCCAGCCAUGCCGCGUGUGUGAAGAAGGCCUUUUGGUUGUAAAGCACUUUAAGCGAGGAGGAGGCUACUUAGAUUAAUACUCUAGGAUAGUGGACGUUACUCGCAGAAUAAGCACCGGCUAACUCUGUGCCAGCAGCCGCGGUAAUACAGAGGGUGCGAGCGUUAAUCGGAUUUACUGGGCGUAAAGCGUGCGUAGGCGGCUGAUUAAGUCGGAUGUGAAAUCCCUGAGCUUAACUUAGGAAUUGCAUUCGAUACUGGUCAGCUAGAGUAUGGGAGAGGAUGGUAGAAUUCCAGGUGUAGCGGUGAAAUGCGUAGAGAUCUGGAGGAAUACCGAUGGCGAAGGCAGCCAUCUGGCCUAAUACUGACGCUGAGGUACGAAAGCAUGGGGAGCAAACAGGAUUAGAUACCCUGGUAGUCCAUGCCGUAAACGAUGUCUACUAGCCGUUGGGGCCUUUGAGGCUUUAGUGGCGCAGCUAACGCGAUAAGUAGACCGCCUGGGGAGUACGGUCGCAAGACUAAAACUCAAAUGAAUUGACGGGGGCCCGCACAAGCGGUGGAGCAUGUGGUUUAAUUCGAUGCAACGCGAAGAACCUUACCUGGCCUUGACAUAGUAAGAACUUUCCAGAGAUGGAUUGGUGCCUUCGGGAACUUACAUACAGGUGCUGCAUGGCUGUCGUCAGCUCGUGUCGUGAGAUGUUGGGUU
rnacentral:rRNA from 1 species